rnacentral:rRNA from 1 species
UAGCGGAGGAAAAGAAACCAACCGGGAUUGCCUCAGUAACGGCGAGUGAAGCGGCAACAGCUCAAAUUUGAAAGCCCGCGGGCGUUGUAAUUUGCAGGCGGAUGUUUUGGGGCGGGCGCUGUCUACGUUCCUUGGAACAGGACGCCGCAGAGGGUGAGAGCCCCGUGCGAUGGCGCCUCUAACCGCGUAAAACUCCGCCGACGAGUCGAGUUGUUUGGGAAUGCAGCUCCAAGUGGGUGGUAAAUUCCAUCUAAAGCUAAAUACUGGCGAGAGACCGAUAGCGAACAAGUACAGUGAUGGAAAGAUGAAAAGCACUUUGAAAAGAGAGUGAAACAGCACGUGAAAUUGUUGAAAGGGAAGGGUAUGCGAUUAGCGGCCAGCAGGAGGUGCCUUCUCGUGAAAAGGCCGUGCACCGUCUUCGGACACCGUGCGCGGAGAUGGCGAGGGGGCGCCUGAGGUCUGCGAACUCGAGUGC